AGGCGCGCGUGCCGUGUGCUCUGUCCGGGCUUGUCGCGCCCCUGCAAAGAGCCAACAGUCAACUGUCCACACGAAUUUUUACUGCGUUACUGAUUCUACUGAUUCACGGCUGUUAUCUUUUCGGCGCUCUUGUCAUCUCCCUCCCUUAGUAUCUUCUCUGUCUUUCUUCUUUGUUUAUUCUCUUCCUCUUUCCAUACCGUAUCCUCUAUCCUCCGCGUAAUUCGCGCGUUUUUUUUUUCUAUCUUGUCACCAUAGAUCAGUUGUUCUGUACUUAUCCCCUCUGCCCAAACGACACCGCAAAAUUUAAUAGUGGGAAAUCGUGUCGUUGUAGAAGUGCCGCGAGUUUCGUAAUCGUCUAUCAACGAAGUUGCACCGGCGAUUCGAACAGAUAAACCUCCUUCAGUUUACAUUGGAAACAAAUACUUAUCGUUAACCGUAACGGGUUGAACGGCGAAUAAUCGCGGGCAACGUUCGGGCAACAUCGCGCGAAAUCGGGUAAAAUCGGAUGAUAUCGGGCAACAUCGAUAAACCUCGGAUAACAGACAAUAUACUUACAAGACUUAAAAUCUUAAACCCUUGGCUCUUAAUUUUGCCGCCCAUAGCUAGUUCUAAAUACCGUGGAGGACUUACUCGCGCAACAAACAGAACCGUAUUACGUGAACUAUACUUUCAUCCCUCAUAAGCAUAGGAUCUAAGCAUGUGUCACGUUCUUAAAAUCGUUUUUGUUUUUUAGAGGAAAUGUUCACUUCGAGGAACUAGGGUUUUAACAUCUGUUCACUUAUUCAUUUCCUGGGCAUUGGAAUAUCGAUACCACGUGUUUCCUAUCUGUAGCAUCUAUUUCUUAUAUGGAUGAUGGCGGAUUAAAAAAAUGGAUCAAAAAUAAGCUCUUUGUAAGUGGGAUGGGAAUACGAUAUAUUAAUUAUCAAUUUAGAAUCUAUUAGAUAUUGAAAUAUACUUAAUCUUACAUCUUAAAGUCUAUAUCGAAUUAUCUAAAAUUUUUUUAUUUUUAAUAUUUUUUAUUAUGAUGUGAUUUAUAUAAAACAUAUCUAACAAAUAAUAUAUAAGUUUAAGUGUUCAAAAGAAUCAAGAAGCUUUAACCAAAAAGCGUUAUUUAUAUACGUACAAAACUAUAUGAAUAAAUCCGUAUAAGGAUGUACAUUGUGAUAUGCGAAAUAAUAUAGUAUAUUUACAAUAAAAUUGU